UUUCCGUAGGUGAACCUGCAGAAGGAUCAUUCAUAAUAAAGUGUUUUAUGGCACUUUUUAAAAAUCCAUAUCCACCUUGUGUGCAAUGUUAGAUCUCGUCAAUCUUGGCGAGAUUUUUAUACAUCAACUCAUUCUUUAACUAAUUUGUCAGAAAAAUAUUAUGAAUACCUAAUUCAAAAUACAACUUUCAACAACGGAUCUCUUGGCUCUC
rnacentral:misc_RNA from 1 species